GUAAAAUUAGUAUAUUCAGUAUGAAGAGUUGUGAUCUCUUAGGAAGCUUUUAGCUAUUUUACU
rnacentral:tRNA from 1 species